rnacentral:rRNA from 1 species
AUGCUUGACUCAAAGAUUAAGCCAUGCAUGUGCAUGUGCAUACCUAUACACGGUGAGACCGCGAAUGGCUCAUUAGAUCAGUCGUUGUUCCUUAGACGGAAGGUGCUACUUGGAUAACUGUGGCAAUUCUAGAGCUAAUACAUGCGAGAAAGCUCCGACCUUCGGGGAAGAGCGCAGUUAUUAGAUCAAGACCAACCGGGUCGAAAGGCCCGCAAGUCUGGUGACUCUGGAUAACCUCAGGCUGACCGCAUGGCCUCCGAGCCGGCGGCGCAUCUUUCAAGUGUCUGCCCUAUCAACUUUCGAUGGUAUGCGAUCUGCUUACCAUGGUGGUGACGGGUAACGGGGAAUCAGGGUUCGAUUCCGGAGAGGGAGCAUGAGAAACGGCUACCACCUCCAAGGAAGGCAGCAGGCGCGCAAAUUACCCACUCCUGGCACAGGGAGGUAGUGACGAGCAAUAACGACCCGGGACUCUUUCGAGGCCUCGGGAUCGGAAUGAGUAUAAUCUAAACACUUUAGCGAGGAACAAUUGGAGGGCAAGUCUGGUGCCAGCAGCCGCGGUAAUUCCAGCUCCAAUAGCGUAUAUUAAAGCUGUUGCAGUUAAAAAGCUCGUAGCUGAAUCUCGGGUCCAGGCGGGCAGUCCGCCUCGCGGCGAGUACGGCCCGUUUCCUGACCCAACUGCCGGUAUUCUCGGGGUGCUCUUGAUUGAGUGUUUCGGGUGGCCGGCACGUUUACUUUGAAAAAAUUAGAGUGCUCAAAGCAGGCCAGCGAGCCUGAAUACUAUAGCAUGGAAUAAUGAAAUAGGACCUCGGUGCUAUUUUGUUGGUCUCCGGUGCUCGAGGUAAUGAUUAAGAGGGACGGACGGGGGCAUUCGUAUUGCGGGGCGAGAGGUGAAAUUCUUGGACCCUCGCAAGACGAACAACCGCGAAAGCAUUUGCCAAGAAUGUUUUCCUUAGUCAAGAACGAAAGUCAGAGGUUCGAAGACGAUCAGAUACCGUCCUAGUUCUGACCAUAAACGAUGCCAACUAGCGAUGCGCGGGCGUUGUUGUCUGACCUCGCGC